rnacentral:lncRNA from 1 species
AAAUUCUUACAGUAUGCAUUUGAACUGUAUUCUGUCUAUACAACUUUAGCUGCCUGAAGGAUUGCCUCUUCAGUUGCCUGAUGCUGGAGCACUGUGAAACAAGAAUAAAGGAGGGCACAUCAAUGCUGUCAAAACUCAGAACUCUUCUGCAGUAGCAGAACUUGAGGUUUCAUGUGAGUCUGGCUCAACACUGUGUUGUCCAAAUGGCCAGCUGGAGGUAAAACAGAGACUAUUUAAAGGCACAGCCACACAACCUUGUGCACAAACUUCUGUCUUCCACUUGGAGCUUUUGUUAUCCUUAAAAUAUAGAUAACAAG